UCCCACUGAGGCGGGGGCCCCACGGCUUUGCUUUACUUGAGCAUGACCAGACUUGUACUCUCUGCAAGCCCUCUUGCUUUUCCAGUUUUGCAAGAAUGUAAGAGCCCAGGCUGGAAUUUUAAAAACUGACCCUUGGAAAGCUAAGAACUUUCCAACCAAAAACAUGUUGAUUAAAAAAACUCAAAUACACAUCUAAAGAGGACAGCAAAAGCUUUCUUCCGAGAUCUGCAGCAGAGCUACUUUCCCCAGCAGCCAGAGAAGUCACAGGAGAAACGCCAAAUCUUACACCGGACACUAAGAUGAUCCCAGGACCAUGCCGUCAUGCUGAGACCUACCAUGCAUCCUCUUGCUGUUCCAUGGCCAUCAGGGCUCGACAAGAGCCAGGACCCAAAGGACCUGUGACAGUCCCACCUGAUGCUUAACUGAGAAGGACAGAUGCGCUGUGUAGACCCAGGACUUCCGGGGCCACUUUUACAGGCCUGGACGUACCAGGUGGUGUUAGCACAGACCAGCACAGCUCUCUGAUCUCAGUCACUCAUUCUGUCGCAAAAAGUACAAAUCUCUAAGCACAAUGGGUAGAAAAAGUCACUGCAUUAUCUGUGGAGGAAUGAGUUCAUCCAAUCACACUGGCUAAUGUUUGGAUUGAAUCAUGUCUCUGUUUGCAUGCUUUUAAAUGUCUGUGGUGUUGUAUUUUUUAAUGUGAGGAAAUAUAAAAAAGUAAAUUUUUUAAAGUAUGUAGCAUGCCACCACUCAAGUAGCACCACCAAACUGAUUAUUUUGUUAAAGUAACAGAGGUUCACUGGUGUUCUGUGAAAAUUAGUUGUAAUCACCAAAUAUCGAUAAAAACUCCAGAAAGUUGGCAUCAGUUUAAACAAAUACGCUCUAUGAAGCUGGCUUUCCCUAAUAUGGUUGCCAGGAGGGAGUAUGUACAAUGUGUAAGAAGGUUUGCUCAUCAGGUGAACAAUGCUCUCUUGUUUCGAUUUGCACUGAUUGCAGCUUGAGUGCAGUAAGCUUACUUUUCACAUAAUUUAUCAGUUGUUUGUAAUAUCUUCCCAGUGAAUUGCCUGUUGAUACGCUUUGCCCAUUUUUCUAUAAGGGUGUUCAUCUUUUGCUCAUUAACUUGAACCAGCUCUUACUAGAGUUAAAAAGUUAGCUCUUUACUAUGAUAUAUAUUAGAAACAUUUUGCAAGUGUAUCAUCUGUCUUUUUUUUAACAGUAACAUCUGUCACAGGGUGAUUUUUAAUUUUUAUGUUGACAAAUGAAUUAAUUUCUUCCUUGGUUUGGCCCUUAGGGUUUGUAUCCUGCUUAGAAAGAUCUUUCUCACGCCAGAACGAUGGACAAAUUCGCCUGUGUUUUCUUCUACAACUUUUAUCAUUUUA